ACUUCGCGGGCCGCCGACGGAGUACAGGGAGCCGCGAGGGUCAUUUCCAUCGGCGUCUGAAACUUGACCCUCGCGGCUCCCUGUACUUCGUCGGCGGCCCGCGAGACCCGU